CGGUGUCCGAGUUGUAAUCUCUAGAAAUGUUUUCCGCGUUGGACCGCACACAAGGAAUACAGCGGCAUAGUGGUGAGACCCCCGUAUAUGGUGCGGACGCCCAGCGCUUUGUGAUACAUUUUCGAAGAGUCGAGUUGUUUGGGAAUGCAGCUCAAAUUGGGUGGUAAAUUCCAUCUAAAGCUAAAUAUUGGCGAGAGACCGAUAGCGAACAAAGCACUUUGGAAAGAGAGUUAACAGUACGUGAAAUUGUUGGAAGGGAAACGCUUGAAGUCAGACUUGCUUGCCGAGCAAUCGGUUUGCAGGCCAGCAUCAGUUUUCCGGGAUGGAUAAUGGUAGAGAGAAGGUAGCAGUUUCGGCUGUGUUAUAGCUCUCUGCUGGAUACAUCUUGGGGGACUGAGGAACGCAGUGUGCCUUUGGCGGGGGUUUCGACCUCUUCACACUUAGGAUGCUGGUGGAAUGGCUUUAAACGACCCGUCUUGAAC
rnacentral:rRNA from 1 species